rnacentral:rRNA from 1 species
GAUGAACGCUGGCGGCGUGCCUAAUACAUGCAAGUCGAACGCUGGAAAUCUAGCUUGCUAGAUUGAAGGAGUGGCUAACGGGUGAGUAAUACAUAAGCAACCUACCCACGAAGACUGGGAUAAUCUCUGGAAACGGGGACUAAUACCGGAUAGGUAGUCGGAAGGCAUCUUCUGAUUAUUAAAGGUUAAAAACACUGGUGGAUGGGCUUAUGGCGCAUUAGUUAGUUGGUGAGGUAACGGCCCACCAAGACGAUGAUGCGUAGCCGGCCUGAGGGGGUGAACGGCCACAUUGGGACUGAGACACGGCCCAGACUCCUACGGGAGGCAGCAGUAGGGAAUUUUCGGCAAUGGGGGAAACCCUGACCGAGCAACGCCGCGUGAGUGAUGACGGCCUUCGGGUUGUAAAGCUCUGUUGUAAGGGAAGAACGGUAGAUAGAGAAUAUCUAAAUGACGGUACCUUACCAGAAAGCCACGGCUAACUACGUG